rnacentral:rRNA from 1 species
AUUGAACGCUGGCGGCAGGCUUAACACAUGCAAGUCGAGCGGAGAGAGGUAGCUUGCUACUGAUCUUAGCGGCGGACGGGUGAGUAAUGCUUAGGAAUCUGCCUAUUAGUGGGGGACAACAUUUCGAAAGGAAUGCUAAUACCGCAUACGUCCUACGGGAGAAAGCAGGGGAUCUUCGGACCUUGCGCUAAUAGAUGAGCCUAAGUCGGAUUAGUCAGUUGGUGGGGUAAAGGCCUACCAAGGCGACGAUCUGUAGCGGGUCUGAGAGGAUGCUCCGCCACACUGGGAAUGAGACACGGCCCAGACUCCUACGGGAGGCAGCAGUGGGGAAUAUUGGACAAUGGGCGCAAGCCUGAUCCAGCCAUGCCGCGUGUGUGAAGAAGGCCUUAUGGUUGUAAAGCACUUUAAGCGAGGAGGAGGCUACUUUAGAUAAUACCUAGAGAUAGUGGACGUUACUCGCAGAAUAAGCACCGGCUAACUCUGUGCCAGCCGCCGCAGUAA